CCUCGCGCUCCUUUACGGGAAGUGAUGUGGGGCCAGACGGAAAAUACCCGCCAAGGACCCGAAAAGGCCGGCAGCGGGUGGACGCCGCGCGCAGAGACAGAGCGGCGUGGGGACCGCGGGCGGAGCAGGU
rnacentral:lncRNA from 1 species